AGAGUUUGAUCAUGGCUCAGGAUGAACGCUAGCGGCAGGCCUAACACAUGCAAGUCGAACGGUAAGGUCUCUUCGGAGAUACACGAGUGGCGCACGGGUGAGUAACGCGUAUGCAACCUACCUUUAACAGGGGGAUAGCCCGAAGAAAUUCGGAUUAAUACCCCAUAACACUUAAGUAACACAUGUUAUUAAAGUUAAAACUCCGGUGGUUAAAGAUGGGCAUGCGUGACAUUAGAUAGUUGGUAAGGUAACGGCUUACCAAGUCUACGAUGUCUAGGGGGUCUGAGAGGAUGGUCCCCCACACUGGUACUGAGACACGGACCAGACUCCUACGGGAGGCAGCAGUGAGGAAUAUUGCGCAAUGGACGAAAGUCUGACGCAGCCAUGCCGCGUGCAGGAUGACGGCCCUAUGGGUUGUAAACUGCUUUUAUACAGGAAGAAGCUCUUGUACGUGUACGAGAUUGACGGUACUGUAAGAAUAGGCAUCGGCUAACUCCGUGCCAGCAGCCGCGGUAAUACGGAGGAUGCAAGCGUUAUCCGGAUUUAUUGGGUUUAAAGGGUGCGCAGGCGGGAAAAUAAGUCAGUGGUGAAAUCCUGCAGCUUAACUGUAGAACUGCCAUUGAUACUGUUUUUCUUGAGUUUGGUUGAGGUAGGCGGAAUGUGUAAUGUAGCGGUGAAAUGCUUAGAUAUUACACAGAACACCGAUUGCGUAGGCAGCUUACUAAGCCAUAACUGACGCUCAGGCACGAAAGCGUGGGGAUCGAACAGGAUUAGAUACCCUGGUAGUCCACGCCGUAAACGAUGAUCACUAGCUGUUGGCGAUAAAUUGCUCAGCGGCAAAGCGAAAGCAUUAAGUGAUCCACCUGGGGAGUACGCUCGCAAGAGUGAAACUCAAAGGAAUUGACGGGGGCCCGCACAAGCGGUGGAACAUGUGGUUUAAUUCGAUGAUACGCGAGGAACCUUACCUGGGCUUAAAUGUAGGACGACGAUUCGGGAAACCGAUUCUCCCUUCGGGGCGGACUACAAGGUGCUGCAUGGUUGUCGUCAGCUCGUGCCGUGAGGUGUCGGGUUAAGUCCCAUAACGAGCGCAACCCCUAUCGUUAGUUGCCAGCGGAUAAUGCCGGGGACUCUAGCGAAACUGCCGGUGUAAACCGAGAGGAAGGCGGGGAUGACGUCAAAUCAGCACGGCCCUUAUGUCCAGGGCUACACACGUGUUACAAUGGUCGAUACAGAGGGUAGCUACCAUGUGAAUGGAUGCGAAUCUCGAAAGUCGGUCUUAGUUCGGAUCGAAGUCUGCAACUCGACUUCGUGAAGCUGGAAUCGCUAGUAAUCGCGUAUCAGCAAUGACGCGGUGAAUACGUUCCCGGGCCUUGUACACACCGCCCGUCAAGCCAUGGAAGCUGGGGGUACCUGAAGUCUGUUACCGUAAGGAGCGGCCUAGGGUAAAACUAGUAACUGGGGCUAAGUCGUAACAAGGUA
rnacentral:rRNA from 1 species